rnacentral:lncRNA from 1 species
AUGUUAUCUAUUUCAAAACCCGCAGAUUGGAAGCAACUGCCCACGAACCUGAGUCACGUCGCUGCGUCGGGGCCGAGCUCCCUGUUGACCAGCAGAGUCCACGCCACUGCACACGGCGAGGCCCAGGACGCCGCGGCCCAGACAAUUUCACCGACGACCGCGACGACGGUGAAGAUCGUCUCUGCCGGACAAACUACAGGCGUCACGCCGCCAAGUCCGGAUGCACCGGAGACGACAACAGCGAAGACGACACACCAAGCAAGGAACCCAACAGGAAGUGCAGCUCAGACACGAGCUGCGUCAGUUCUGCAACCGGUCACAAGGGUCGUCGGUGACGACGGCUGCGAGUUCGUCUCCGCUGACCGCGGCGUCGUCCGAGGCUGCGACAUCCUCGCCUGCUGUCAGUCUGACCCCGCCCACCUCGGCUCCGCACCUGAGGACCACGAGCCAACGCACGACGACCUCUCCGGCUCCUCCCACCACACUGUCCCCCGUCCGCCCGACAGAGCGACUGACGCCGACCGGCGGGACGACAGCGCAUCUGAGCGUGAGGACUACAGCUCCCAGCAUGCAUCUGCAAACAGAGAAACCAGGUUGUCCGUGGAGGAGGCCGGAGCCGAGCGGCGAGUGGUCGACGGUGGCGACGACGGUCGGCGCUCACAAGCUGCAGCCCUGCGUCCUGGAGCUCUGCCAGUUCUUCUCGCGGUGUCUCUGCAGAGCCGUCGACCACAGGAAGCGCAUGACAAGGUUUUCACACCGCGACUCCCAAAUGACAGUUGGUGCCAAAUUGGAGGUGGAAUUACAUGA